UUCACUCAGUGAGUGGAUAACGCGAUGGCAUUUGAAGCGAAAGGUAAUAGGUUCGAGUCCUAGAGUGAACA
rnacentral:tRNA from 1 species